rnacentral:rRNA from 1 species
CAGUCGCCGCGGGAAUACGGAGGGUGCAAGCGUUAAUCGGAAUUACUGGGCGUAAAGGGUGCGUAGGCGGUUAUAUAAGACAGAUGUGAAAUCCCCGGGCUCAACCUGGGAAAUGCAUUUGUGACUGUAUAGCUAGAGUACGGCAGAGGGGGAUGGAAUUCCGCGUGUAGCAGUGAAAUGCGUAGAUAUGCGGAGGAACACCGAUGGCGAAGGCAAUCCCCUGGGCCUGUACUGACGCUCAUGCACGAAAGCGUGGGGAGCAAACAGGAUUAGAUACCCCCGUAGUCCCUGUCUCUUAUAC